CCCUUGAAAGAGUGCGUAACAGCUCACUGGUCUAGUGGUUCCGCGCCGACAAUGUAGCGGGGCUCAAGCACACCACCGAAGACGCGGCAGUAUUUUGUACUGGGUAGGAGAGCGUCCCAUGAGGGGCGAAGCGGCCGUGUGAACGCGCCGUGGACUUCAUGGGAGUGAGAAUGCAGACAUGAGUAGCGAGAGACGGGUGAAGAUCCCGUCCGCUGGAUGACCAAGGGUUCCAGGGCCACGUUCAUCGUCCCUGGGUGAGUCGGGUCCUAAGGCGAGGCCGACAGGCGUAGUCGAAUGGAUGAACGGGUCGAUAUUCCCGUACCGGCUUUCAGCCGCCAAAACCGAGGCUUGGAGUACUAACCUCCGGGUCCGGGCUUACUGCUCCUUCGGGGGCGGGAUGCCCUGGCCUGUUGGGACCGAUCCUUGUAGUAGGUCAGCGCAGGAGUGACGCAGAAGGGUAGCCGGCCGCGGAGGUGGUCUUCCGUGGUCAAGCACGCAGGGCGUGGGACAGGCAAAUCCGUCCCGCAUGGGUCCGAGGUGCGAUGAUGGGGGCCUUAUGGCCCGAUAUCCGGUGAUCCCGGCUGCCGAGAAAAGCUUCGGCGUCAGGCUCAAAGCCGCCCGUACCCCAAACCGACACUGGUGGUCAGGUAGAGAAUACCAAAGCGAUCGAGCGAAUCCUGGUCAAGGAACUCGGCAAAUCACUCCCGUUCCUUCGGUUUAAGGGAGACCCCCGAUGGUGAACACACUUGCUGUGGGAGCUUUUGGGGGUGGCACAGACCAGGGGGUAGCGACUGUUUACCAAAAACACAGGUGCAUGCGAAGGCGCAAGCCGCUGUAUAUGCACUGACGCCUGCCCGGUGCCGGAAGGUUAAGAGGAUCCGUCAGCCUUCGGGUGAAGCGGUGAAUUCAAGCCCCGGUAAACGGCGG
rnacentral:rRNA from 1 species